rnacentral:rRNA from 1 species
CCCUUAGAUGUUCUGGGCCGCACGCGCGCUACACUGAUGCAUUCAACGAGUUUCUUCCUGGUCCGAGAGGAAUGGGUAACCUUUUGAAAGUGCAUCGUGAUAGGGAUAGACUAUUGCAAUUAUUGGUCUUCAACGAGGAAUUCCUAGUAGACGUAGUUCAUCAGACUGCAUCGAUUACGUCCCUGCCCUUUGUACACACCGCCCGUCGCUCCUACCGAUUGAAUGCUCAGGUGAGCCAUUCGGACUUUCAUCAUGCUGGUUUCCAGUUUUGAUGAAGGAAAGUCUCGCGAACCUUAUCAUUUAGAGGAAGGAGAAGUCGUAACA